GAUGAACGCUGGCGGCAUGCCUAAGACAUGCAAGUCGAACGAGACGGCCCAAUGAAAACGGAGUGCUUGCACAAAGUUGGAUUUGGUUCCCCGUCUAGUGGCGCAAGGGUGAGUAACACGUGGGUAAUCUACCUUCGAGUCUGGAAUAACAGUUAGAAAUGAUUGCUAAUGCCGGAUGAUUGAUAGGAUGGUAUUCUUCCUAUUAUAAAAGGAGCCUUUAAAGCUUCGCUUGAAGAUGAGCCUGCGCCGUAUUAGCUAGUUGGUGGGGUAAAAGGCCUACCAAGGCGACGAUGCGUAGCCGACCUGAGAGGGUGAUCGGCCACACUGGGACUGAGACACGGCCCAGACUCCUACGGGAGACAGCAGUUAGGAAUAUUCGUCAAUGGGGGAAACCCUGAACGAGCAAUGCCGCGUGAAGGAUGACGGUCCUAUGGAUUGUAAACUUCUGUUGUUUAGGGAAGAACGGACCUGUAUAGGAAAUGAUACAGGAGUGACGGUACCUUUCAAA
rnacentral:rRNA from 1 species